rnacentral:lncRNA from 1 species
UCCCAAGGUGUACUCUUUGCCCAACACCUCGAGAUCUUUGAUCAAGUCAUUGAACCUGCAAUACAUUUUGUCAAUAUUCUCAAAAGGUUCAAUUUUAAAUGAUUCAUACUUUGUGACCAAGAUAGCCUUUUUUUGUUCUCUCACGUUGUCACCACCCUCAUGGAUUUCUCUUAACUUAUCCCACAUUUCUUUGGCCGAUUUACAGCCUUUUACUCUAAUUGAUUCAUUUGAAUCUAAGGCACUAUAAAGAACAUUUAUGGCCUUGGCAUUCAAUGUGAGGUUAGUCCUAUCUUGAGCAUUCAUUUCA